AUUACGAGGAAGUUGGUCAAUAGGCUAUUAAGAAUUUUGAAAUUCAUGGAUGUUAAAACACUUUUGACAGUGGUAAAACUAAAACUACUCCAAAACAAAUAACCACCACAUUAACUAAAGGGGUGAGAGCCAUAGUGACGUACAGAAAAAAUGGGAAGCAUAUCACCACUUUACUCAUAGUCUUGAGAAAAUGGUGAGUUUUUCACUUUAUUUUUGGUGAUGUACUGUACUGUUGAGUAAUUCUUUGAAAUGGGUUUUUGUUUUUGGUUACAGAUAAGAAUUGAUGGUGAAGUUGUUAAAGAGCCCUAUACAAUCCUUGGGUAGAUUUCUGUUAAAAACCAAAUAAAAGAAUUUCAUGUGUAUUUUUUGUGUAGAAAGGGAUCAUGAUUUUUUAGGGAUGGUUCGGAAUUGGCCUAUCAUAGGCUCCGUGGAGAGAGCCUGAUGCGCCUUGCUUCAAGUUUCAUGUGAAGGUGAUGAUCAGAUUGCUUUGAACGAGCUGUCCGGUCUUCAAGGUUUAAUGCAACUCUAGUGGAGGGAAAGCAAGGACAUCUCUUCCCUAGCAAGCCAAGGAUCACAUCCUGUUCAUCACCUUCAUCAGGUUAGCUACUGGUGCUGAAUAAAUGAAUGACUAAAUUUUGGAAAUGUGCACGUGAUAAUUGCACUCUUUUUCCAAUUUCAUUAGUCAGUCAGGAGGAAGCUUUGCUUAUGAGGACUACUUUACACUACUACAUUGCAUUGAUAUGAAAAUAAGAAAUGCUGACAAGCGAAGACCUGGCAUAAUUUUCUUCUGUUCUGCUUUAACUGAAGAAACGGUUCUUGACAUAAUAGUGUGACAGCCAAUGUCAUGGUUGUAAACCAGAAUAUAUUUUGCUGAUAAAACGUAUUCGAUUCCCUCAUGUAUAGCAAUACCAACAUGGAGCAGAGAAUAAAAUGGAAGAUUUCAAAGAUAUACCUAGCACUAGUGAAUGGGAUACUGAAUCAGGAUAGGUAACACCUUGGCUCAACCACUGUCUUUUGCUUCCUUUUCUGUUUGUGGCAUUUGUAAUCUUCUGGUUAUGCUGUGAUUUCUUCUUUGGUUGGCAAUGAUUAUUUUGUGUUUAUAAUGCUGACAACUUGAAGAACCAUCUGUAUCCAGUGGUUGUUUGUUUUUCUCAAUCACGCCAUUCCUUGCAAAUAACUUUUCAUGAUAAGAAUCAGGAUAGGUAACAAUGCGUUUCCCUGGAGUGGCCAAAGGGCUGUGUGUUGCUUCACCCUCAGGAUAAUCAUCUUUGAGCAAAGUUGAAGUCCAUGAGAGAGAUGCACAAGGAAACCACACAUUGGUCCAGGCUGAGAUUGAAUCAGGACGCCCACGCCAGAUUUGCCUUCACUCUUUCAUAGGGCAUCCUUUGCUGGGUAGACCUUAGUGUGGAUAGGUUUUUACUGUGUAUUUGAAUGAAGUCUACACCCUUGUCAACAUUCAGAAGGCAAUUGAUAUGGGAAUGAAAGCUGUUUAUCGCUACAGAGUGUUUAUUAUGGUUCAUUAAUUGCUAAUUCGAUAUGUG